rnacentral:tRNA from 1 species
UGUCCAGGGAUGGGAAUCGAACCCACAGUGUUCCGCUUACCGGGCAGAUGCCAUGUCCACUAGGCUACUUUGGAC